rnacentral:tRNA from 1 species
GGCAGUGUGACCUAGUAGACAGAGCACUGGACUGGAACUCAGGAAUCUGGGUUCUAUUCCCAGCUUUGCCC